ACGGAAGGCAGCAGCUAAGAAUAUUCCGCAAUGGACGAAAGUCUGACGGAGCGACGCCGCGUGGAUGAUGAAGGUCGAAAGAUUGUAAAAUCCUUUUAGGAGUGAAGAAUAAGAGGUGCAGGGAAUGGCAUCACGGUGACGGUAGCUCCUGAAUAAGCAACGGCUAAUUACGUGCCAGCAGCCGCGGUAACACGUAAGUUGCGAGCGUUGUUCGGAAUUAUUGGGCGUAAAGGGUAUGUAGGCGGUCGUGCAAGCUUGGUGUGAAAGGCAGGGGCUCAACCCCUGGACUGCAUUGAGAACUGCAUGACUUGAAUUGCUGAAGGGCAGCCGGAAUUCCAGGUGUAGGGGUGAAAUCUGUAGAUAUCUGGAAGAAUACCAAUGGCGAAGGCAGGUUACCAGCAGAUGACUGACGCUGAGGUGCGAAGGUGCGGGGAGCAAACAGGAUUAGAUACCCUGGUA
rnacentral:rRNA from 1 species